UGGGGAAUAUUGCACAAUGGGCGGAAGCCUGAUGCAGCGACGCCGCGUGGGGGAUGAAGGCCUUCGGGUUGUAAACUCCUUUCGACAGGGACGAAGCUUUUGUGACGGUACCUGUAUAAGAAGCACCGGCUAACUACGUGCCAGCAGCCGCGGUAAUACGUAGGGUGCGAGCGUUGUCCGGAAUUACUGGGCGUAAAGAGCUCGUAGGUGGUUUGUCGCGUCGUCUGUGAAAUUCCGGGGCUUAACUCCGGGCGUGCAGGCGAUACGGGCUGACUUGAGUGCUGUAGGGGAGACUGGAAUUCCUGGUGUAGCGGUGAAAUGCGCAGAUAUCAGGAGGAACACCGAUGGCGAAGGCAGGUCUCUGGGCAGUAACUGACGCUGAGGAGCGAAGGCAUGGGUAGCGAACAGGAUUAGAUACCCUGGUAGUCUAUGCCGUAAACGGUGGGCGCUAGGUGUAGGGGGCUUCCACGUCUUCUGUGCCGUAGCUAACGCAUUAAGCGCCCCGCCUGGGGAGUACGGCCGCAAGGCUA
rnacentral:rRNA from 1 species